GGCAGUUCUGAUGCUGGGGGCCAGGCAAUAACAUUGCCUGGCUGGAGAGCUGCUGGUAUCAUCUGGAGAGCGCUGGAAUUGGAAGGGACCUCAGGGAAGGAUCACAGUCACUAGCCAGCUACACAAAAUUCCUAUCGACUGAAACUGACUUCAAGAGACUGCCAUCUAACAGCAAGAAAUCUAAAUGUAAACUGUGAAAUCUUUGAAAGUGAAAUUAGGUUUGAUACAAAACAGUUAAAGUGACCAAAGAGACAAUUCACUCUGUGUGCGCUCUUUUGCUGAGCUGAGGUCAUUGGGGAUACACAAACUGAUAAAACCUGCCCCAAAGUCCUUUGACUUGGAAAGAUCCCCGUGUACCUCAGUGGACUCAUUUUCUGUCAGUGUAUUCAUCUAAAACUUUUAUUUUAGGAGAUCCCUCAUUUCUGAAUGAAAGCCUCACUUUGCUCGCUUUCAGAUCAUCUGGAGUAUUAUUAUUGUUAAUAAAACCUAAUAAUAAAAUAAUAAUAAUAAUAUAGGCAACCAUCCUAUAUGAUGAUCCUCUGGAUCAUGGUGUACAUGUAAGAGGUCUAGUCAGUUGCCUCAUGAAUCUGCUUGUGGUUGACAAGCCCAAUUUGACAGUGACACAGCUUGUUACAAGUUUCAGUUUAUUACAAUUAUUCAUCAUUAUUAUAAUUAUCAUCAUCAUUAUUAUUAGGU